GCAAAGCACUCCUACGGGAGGCAGCAGUGGGGAAUAUUGCACAAUGGGCGCAAGCCUGAUGCAGCCAUGCCGCGUGUAUGAAGAAGGCCUUCGGGUUGUAAAGUACUUUCAGCAGUGAGGAAGGUGGGUAUGUUAAUAGCAUAUUCAUUUGACGUUAGCUGCAGAAGAAGCACCGGCUAACUCCGUGCCAGCAGCCGCGGUAAUACGGAGGGUGCGAGCGUUAAUCGGAAUUACUGGGCGUAAAGCGCAUGCAGGUGGUUUGUUAAGUCAGAUGUGAAAGCCCGGGGCUCAACCUCGGAAUUGCAUUUGAAACUGGCAAACUAGAGUACUGUAGAGGGGGUAGAAUUUCAGGUGUAGCGGUGAAAUGCGUAGAGAUCUGAAGGAAUACCGGUGGCGAAGGCGGCCCCCUGGACAGAUACUGACACUCAGAUGCGAAAGCGUGGGGAGCAAACAGGAUUAGAUACCCUGGUAG
rnacentral:rRNA from 1 species